rnacentral:lncRNA from 1 species
CCCGGCGCCGCGGCCAGGAUUUCCCACCUCGCUCCCGCGACUCCGCUGCGGGUCUGCACACCCGAGGACUCGGGGUACUUAACCGAAACUAGCAAUCCCAGGCGGUACAAGGCCCUCCAUCGUAGGCAAAGCACUACCUGAAUGUAGAUUUGGGCCAUACGUUGGAAAAUAAGACAUGAGAGUAUGCUCCGAUCAACUUUUACUGUUCACUGGACAACUAUUUUGGGAAUUUGCAGACCUAUAAAGCCCAUCUAUAAAUCUCAAGCAUGUCCACUUUCAGAGAAGAGAAAUGCUGACAACCAUUUAGUCUCUGAGGACAACACUUUUAAAGGACUCCAUCAUAGGACUGGAGAGAGAUUGGAUGUCAGAGUGAUUGAUGUGCUCCUACUGGAAGAAGGCAAACAUCCAUAUGUGAACUGCCUGUGGGGUUUCCAAGGAAAGGAACGGCAGGCAGCCUCUAUGAGCUUAAAGAAGAUAACUGGGACUUUAGUCCUAUAACCUCAAGGAACAGUAUUCUGUGAACCAUCUGAGAAGCUUGGAAGAGGACCCCAAACUCCAAAUAAGAAGCUCAGUGUGUCUGACACCUUGACUGCAGGCUUGGGAGGUCCUGAGCAGAAGAUCCAGUUCAACAGUGCCUGGACUCCUGAUCCACAAAAACUGAUAACAAAUAUUUAUUGUUUUAAGAUGCUAAGUUUGUAGUCAUUUUUUAUACAGCAACAGAAAACUAAACACACACAUAAACAGUUAUAAGUGCUCACUGUAUAUGAGGCUUUUCAUUAAUAAUCUAUAUUUUAUAAUAGAAUUAGAAUAUAGAUCUGUGAAGCUGAAGACACUCAAUCCUUGCUAGAUUUAAAUCAGGAAAAUCAGCUGAGAAUCAUUCCUUGAUAGAACCUGGAAAACAAGACCCUAUGAGAGACCCUGGGAAUUACAUUAAAUUCACUGUGGUUCCCAGUGUCACUGAAGAGGUUUUCCUUUCAUAGUCAGGUAGUCACCAUACUGUUAAGCAUUUGAACACAUGGGCAACUUCCAGAAUAGUUAUGACAUUGAUAUACCAAUCUCCAAAAUUCCUAGAAUACCAUGUUUUCAUGGUUGACCUUCAAAUCAGUCAGUUCUUUGUAACAUUGAGCCAUAAAGAUAGGGCAAAUACUUAAUGUUUUACAUAUAUUCAGAGAUUGACCCUCAAAAUACAGCCCAGAGAAACUCAAAAGAAUUAACUCUAUUUCUUCAAAUUGUGUGACGCCACCAAGGCCAGAUGACUUCAGCAUUGGGAAGGCAAUAUCCAGCUGUCAUCUUCUUGAUCCUCAUAUGCUACUACUAGCAUCUAGCAUUUACUGAGCAGAUAGUUUUAUUGUCCAGUUUUUAAAGAUAAGAAAAUUGAGGUAUUAGGAAAGUUAAGUUGGUUGCCUAGGGAAACACGAAGAUAUAGCCCAGAUUCACUCCCAGGCAGGCAGAUGCCAGUGUCUGCUCUCUUUACCACCGAAAUAUCCUGCUACAUGUACAAUUUCAAUAAAUAUCUGGACUUACUGGAACAAAACAAAUCAACAACAUUCUUAUUUUCUUUCUUCAGUUUAGAUUAAAUAAUUUAAAUGUCUUCUUAAGAAGCUACAGUUUUUUGAGGCACAGAGGGAUAGGAGGGUAGGUCCUACCAGUUGAGUCACUCAGCCCUAUAGUUG